GCCUCCCACAUGCCCGGGCCGGGCCUCCUCCUUCCCAUCCCUCGAUGGCUCUAUUCUGGGGUGUGCCCUCAUGGCCUGUUUUCCCCACAGCAUGGCUGCUGUGAAUAACUACAUGGGGCAGGGAUGAGUGCAUGCCCGCUCCAGCUUCAAUAGCAGGUCCUGGGGACCCAAGACGUCGGAGACUGGGCCCGGGGAGCGCCACCUGCGGCUGCCAGGGGAGCGCCCAGGGGAGCCCCGCAGGGAGGCCCAGGUGCUGCAGUGCCUGGAACACGUCCCACCUUCAUCUUGGGACCACGUCUCCGGGUCGCGUUGUGAGACCUGUGAGGAGCCACAGGCGCCCUCCCUGCAGCCUGCUCCUCCGCCACACUACGGGCUGCUGUAGCCGCCGUGGCCCUGGGCCCGUGGCCAGAACUCCCCACCCCGCGGCGAGGACCCCCACCCAGGGCAAGGACCACCUGCAUGGGCAUCAGCUCGGCCAGGCCAAGCGCAGGAGCACCCAGCGGACGGCACGCGCAGCCCUCGUCGGUUGAAUGGCUUCAGAAACACGUGGAGGUCAUCGGGGCACCGGGGGGCUCAGCGGUGGGCUUCUGCCUCUGGCCCAGAGCAUCACCCCGGGGGCCUGGGAUCGAGUCCCGCAUCUGGUCCCUGCAGGGAGCCUGCGUCUCCCUCUGCCUGGGUCUCUGCCGCUCUCUCUGGGUGUCUCAUGAAUACAUAAAUAGAAUCUUUUUUUAAAAAGGCGUCAGGUAGCACAUGUUAGGCCACCGUGAGCCCGGGUCCUUUCCCACGGCUGAACCCUGCAGGAGGAGGAAGCUGAGUGGAAGAUACUCAACUUCGACGUCUCCCGGCAGCUCAGUCUUCCACGCGGCCGACUCUUGGUUUCAGCUCAAGUCAUGACCCCAGGGUCGUGGGGUAGAGCCCCGGGCCCCCUCUGCCUCUUCCUCUGCCCCUGCUCCCUGCCCUCAAAUAAUAAAUGAACAAAUCUUUAAAAAAAAAGAGUCGCA
rnacentral:lncRNA from 12 species